UAACCUAACAGACGAGAUGGCCACCAACAAACGAACAAAGAAGUGAAAGAACAUGUACAUAUAUAAAUAUAAAUUUUAAAUAUAUAAUCGAUAUAUAUAGAAAGAGAAGGUAGUGAGAGAAACAUAACCAUCAUCAAUCCUCUCUUCCUUCCUGUAUAUAUUUCAAUACACACACACACACAACAAUAUAAUCAACGAAAGAAAGAAAAAAAAGAGCUUCAUAAUUCACUUCCAUUGUAUUCCCCUUACAACUUUAGAUCCAACCAAACCCUAGAGAACUCCUGCAUUUUCCCUCAAGAAUCACUUCGUAAGUUGGUUGCAAAUGGUGGAAAUGAAGGUGAAUUAGUGUGAUUGUUUGUUAGUAAUAAUGGAGGAUAGAGGUGGAUCAUUUGUUGCUGUUAGGAGAAUUUCACAUAGUCUUGACAGAGGCAAUAAUUGCAAUACAACUUCAGCUGAGGUUGUUGCAGGCUCAGCAGCAUGGCUUGGCAGAGGCCUCUCGUAUUGUACAAUUAUGAUGUUUUAAUAGUUUUGUUCAACUGUUCGUUUGGGAUGAACAUGCUUAAAAGGAUUCUAAAAACGAGGCAUUCUACAAUGCUCAACUGAUUGCUUCUUGCUGCUUGCUGCUUGCUUUUCUACAACUUAUGGAUGGGAAGUGGUACAUGUAUCCCAUGUAACUUAGUAGUAUAAUCAGUGGCAGAUCUUGCCCGUUGAACCUGCCAGGGCCGAAAGACACGGACACUAAAAUUAGCACUACGGCCGAAAAACUUGCCAGGGCCGAACAUAGUAUAUAUACAAAAUUUCGAUCGAAUUGCGGAAAAUUAGCACUACGGCCGAAAAACUUGCCAGGGCCGUGGCCCUGCCACGGCUCCACUAAGAUCCGCCCAUGAGUAUAAUGUUACAUACUAGAUGUUGUUUGGUAACAUUUGGUAGUAUGUCAAAGGUGUAGGUUUAUAAAUUAAAGAUACUAGAUUUUAGGAGUAUAUAGUGUACCACCAAAAUGUUUUGCUUUUCAAGCGCUGAACAUAUUUGUUGAGUUUGAAUAUUGUUAAAGUCCAUCAAAUGUUACUAAACAACAUUUAGAAUA